AUUGAACGCUGGCGGCAGGCCUAACACAUGCAAGUCGAACGGUAACAGGAAGAAGCUUGCUUCUUUGCUGACGAGUGGCGGACGGGUGAGUAAUGUCUGGGAAACUGCCUGAUGGAGGGGGAUAACUACUGGAAACGGUAGCUAAUACCGCAUAACGUCGCAAGACCAAAAAGGGGGACCUUCGGGCCUCUUGCCAUCGGAUGUGCCCAGAUGGGAUUAGCUAGUAGGUGGGGUAACGGCUCACCUAGGCGACGAUCCCUAGCUGGUCUGAGAGGAUGACAAGCCACACUGGAACUGAGACACGGUCAAGACUCCUACGGGAGGCAGCAGUGGGGAAUAUUGCACAAUGGGCGCAAGCCUGAUGCAGCCAUGCCGCGUGUAUGAAGAAGGCCUUCGGGUUGUAAAGUACUUUCAGCGGGGAGGAAGGGAGUAAAGUUAAUACCUUUGCUCAUUGACGUUACCCGCAGAAGAAGCACCGGCUAACUCCGUG
rnacentral:rRNA from 1 species